rnacentral:rRNA from 1 species
AUACGGAGGGAGCAAGCGUUAUUCGGAAUCACUGGGCGUAAAGGACGCGUAGGCGGGUUUGUAAGUCAGGUGUGAAAUCCUACAGCUCAACUGUAGAACUGCACUUGAAACUACAGACUUAGAGUAUGGAAGGGGCAGAGGGAAUUAGUGGUGUAGGGGUAAAAUCCGUAGAUAUCACUAGGAAUACCGAAAGCGAAGGCGAUCUGCUGGGACAUUACUGACGCUGAGGCGUGAAAGCGUGGGGAGCAAACAGGAUUAGAAACCCCAGUAGUCC